CCAGACUCCUACGGGAGGCAGCAGUGGGGAAUAUUGCACAAUGGGGGAAACCCUGAUGCAGCGACGCCGCGUGAAGGAAGAAGUAUUUCGGUAUGUAAACUUCUAUCAGCAGGGAAGAAAAUGACGGUACCUGACUAAGAAGCCCCGGCUAACUACGUGCCAGCAGCCGCGGUAAUACGUAUGGUGCAAGCGUUAUCCGGAUUUACUGGGUGUAAAGGGAGCGCAGGCGGCACGGCAAGCCUGAUGUGAAAGCCCGCGGCCCAACCGCGGGACUGCAUUGGGAACUACCGGGCUGGAGUGCCGGAGAGGUAGGCGGAAUUCCUAGUGUAGCGGUGAAAUGCGUAGAUAUUAGGAGGAACACCAGUGGCGAAGGCGGCCUACUGGACUGCGACUGACGUUGAGGCCCGAAAGCGUGGGGAGCAAACAGGAUUAGAUACCCCUGUA
rnacentral:rRNA from 1 species